GACGAACGCUGGCGGCGUGCUUAACACAUGCAAGUCGAACGGAAAGGCCCUGCUUUUGUGGGGUGCUCGAGUGGCGAACGGGUGAGUAACACGUGAGUAACCUGCCCUUGACUUUGGGAUAACUUCAGGAAACUGGGGCUAAUACCGGAUAGGAGCUCCUGCUGCAUGGUGGGGGUUGGAAAGUUUCGGCGGUUGGGGAUGGACUCGCGGCUUAUCAGCUUGUUGGUGGGGUAGUGGCUUACCAAGGCUUUGACGGGUAGCCGGCCUGAGAGGGUGACCGGCCACAUUGGGACUGAGAUACGGCCCAGACUCCUACGGGAGGCAGCAGUGGGGAAUAUUGCACAAUGGGCGGAAGCCUGAUGCAGCAACGCCGCGUGCGGGAUGACGGCCUUCGGGUUGUAAACCGCUUUCGCCUGUGACGAAGCGUGAGUGACGGUAAUGGGUAAAGAAGCACCGGCUAACUACGUGCCAGCAGCCGCGGUGAUACGUAGGGUGCGAGCGUUGUCCGGAUUUAUUGGGCGUAAAGGGCUCGUAGGUGGUUGAUCGCGUCGGAAGUGUAAUCUUGGGGCUUAACCCUGAGCGUGCUUUCGAUACGGGUUGACUUGAGGAAGGUAGGGGAGAAUGGAAUUCCUGGUGGAGCGGUGGAAUGCGCAGAUAUCAGGAGGAACACCAGUGGCGAAGGCGGUUCUCUGGGCCUUUCCUGACGCUGAGGAGCGAAAGCGUGGGGAGCGAACAGGCUUAGAUACCCUGGUAGUCCACGCUGUAAACGGUGGGUACUAGGUGUGGGGUCCAUUCCACGGGGUCCGUGCCGUAGCUAACGCUUUAAGUACCCCGCCUGGGGAGUACGGCCGCAAGGCUAAAACUCAAAGGAAUUGACGGGGCCCCGCACAAGCGGCGGAGCAUGCGGAUUAAUUCGAUGCAACGCGUAGAACCUUACCUGGGUUUGACAUGGAUCGGGAGCGCUCAGAGAUGGGUGUGCCUCUUUUGGGGUCGGUUCACAGGUGGUGCAUGGCUGUCGUCAGCUCGUGUCGUGAGAUGUUGGGUUAAGUCCCGCAACGAGCGCAACCCUUGUUCACUGUUGCCAGCACGUUAUGGUGGGGACUCAGUGGAGACCGCCGGGGUCAACUCGGAGGAAGGUGGGGAUGACGUCAAGUCAUCAUGCCCCUUAUGUCCAGGGCUUCACGCAUGCUACAAUGGCUGGUACAGAGAGUGGCGAGCCUGUGAGGGUGAGCGAAUCUCGGAAAGCCGGUCUCAGUUCGGAUUGGGGUCUGCAACUCGACCUCAUGAAGUCGGAGUCGCUAGUAAUCGCAGAUCAGCAACGCUGCGGUGAAUACGUUCCCGGGGCU
rnacentral:rRNA from 1 species